GCUGCUGGCAGGAGACUUGAAGUCUGGAGCAGGCUUGCUAAAUGAGCCAACCAGAGACACCUGGCACAGGGAGGGAACAUCAGGUUGUUGCUUCCAUGUGAGAGCUGAAGCAAGUCUGUGGGAAGUCUGCAAGAGAAUCAGCUCUGAGCAGGGUAGUCACAAGCUGAACCUUAGGGUGGGUCACUGUCUAAGAACUGAUAAAAGGACUCUUUGGCUCACCUAGGCUCUGAGAGCCUCCCAGCAAAAAUCACCACAAUAUGGAUUUUCUGUCCAGGAAAGAUGAAGAUGGUGAGUCAAGCAGUUGGUGCCCCGACAUGCCCACUCAAAUUAAAAGCAAUGGAGUGAGGGAGCUGCCUACAGGAGACCUGAAGCUUGAGCAGACCUGCUAAACCAGAGACACAUGGCACGGGUGCAGAACAAGGCUCAUAGACAACCAAAAAGAAGUGGGAUGGCUUCGGAGAGUUGGGGGAGAGAGAGCAGAGAAAUAGUGGAUGUGGGUCCAAGAUUUCCCUCAUGGAAAAUUUUGAAAUGACAGCUACAAUUUCCUGCAUUUUAGAUGAUUUUAAGGAAUUGCACAAACUAAAAGGAAACAAAAGUCACCCUGGCAUGGUACAUGAUUUUGGCAAUAACAAGAUAGAAUCCUUGAUGAAAGACCAGCAUAUUUAGUCCAGGCUUAUUUAUUACGGCCACUAUUGCAAUUUAUCACCUUACCCCCAGUCAUGAGAUUGUUUGAUCCAGGUUCUACUGGGCAAUUCCACUUCAGCUGAAGGACUUGGGAAGGCUUUGCAGCCAGCAUGGAACCUUCUGGGCUGGGAAUAGGCCAAGACUGGGAGACGUUAAGAGGUUGCUGUACAGAAAAUAGCCCAGCCAGAAUCUAAAUCAACACACUGGAAUUCAUCAGAACUUGCAUGGACUCCAGCGUCUACCUGGAUGAAACUGCAGUGCUGGAAAAAGAUUGAAAUUGGUUCACACACAAAGCUAACUUUGGGGGUUUGUGAAGUCCAUGACCAGGAACCUCCAAGUUUUUGGAAGGUCCUGACAACUUUAUCUGCAAGAGGUCUGUUGUGGUCACCAUUACUAGGGAUUAGGCCAUCUGGCAGUUCCUUCUGUCUCUCAGCAAGCUGGCUGCAUCUGCAGUCUCCCGCGCUGAGCUGCCAUUGCAGCCUCAAGCCAACAGAGCUAACACAGCCGGGGAGCGGUGUGCAUCACAGCCAGUACAGCAGGCCCAGCUCAGAUAGUUGAGUUCCAUGGUGAGGUGGAAAUAAGGGGCCCUGAAUGUUAUCUCAGCACUGAGUUUCAGGAGCUCAUCUCUGGUGCAGGAGCAACAGAGACUAGGAGAGUCCAGCCCCCCACUGAGAUCUCCUAAGAAACGUAGCACAGUUAGAAGACAGAGAAAUCUGGGAAGAUGAAGACCCCUUUUCCCUUCACCAGUGGUGUGUGGGUAAUGAGGAAGGCAACAGAGAGGGAUGCAGGUGGGUGAAGGGUGGCAAACAGAUAAUAGGAACAGAGGGAGAGUCGCAAAAUCUGGGGGAAUGAGACCGAGUAAUAGGAUGGAUGGGGUAUUCAGGAGAGGAAGUGAAUGAGAGAUGUGAGGAGAAUUAGGGACCCAGGCAAAAAGGAAAACAUGGUUGAGGUGGGUUGGAAAAACUCAGGGGCACCCAGGAAGGAGGGAAAGAGAGAAAAAGUCAUGGAGGAACUUGCGGGUUAAGUUGUGUCCAUAUGUGGUGAGUCUGUGUGCUGGCACAUUGAAGCAAUGUCAUAUGUAGAGCCAAGUUCAAUAGAUAUAGGGUCCCUCUUGAAGAAUAAAACUGACCCAGAAUUCUGGGAAAAAUAAAUAAAUCCUCCUUUGGUUGCCCUAGCAUGCAGAAAUCCUCCCUUUUCCCCCCUCCAUCCCCCGCCGCCCUCCGCAAGCACUCUGAGGCUAUAUGCAAGACAAGGGAAUCUUUAUUAGGGAAAACAGGGACAUAGAAUCUGUGAAAAUUCAGCAAUAAUCUAACAUUCAA